ACAAGGAUGGACGUAGAACUACUCUAGGAAAUUCCUCAAACACUGCCAAGUACUUCAUGGCUGAAAGCCAAAUAUUCAGUCCCCCUGGGAUUACAGGAGUGUUGAAGAAAUGUUGUGACACAUCAGAACACCGCGAAAUACAUGGACACUUUCAAAUCAUGGAAGACUCAAGGACAAAGAAGACAGAAAAUACUACACACUACCCAGAGAUUGAAACUGAAGGUGUGAACAACAGAGAAAAGAGAGGGCAAAGAAAAGGAAAACAAAGAAGACGUGGGAUAUGAAAGGUGUAUGCCAUGUGUGGACAUCAAGAAAUGUUUCAGCUCGCACUUCUGCCACCAAUUGAGCCUGGAACCUCACUACUUGGAGUUGGGGGGAGGGCAGUGCUCAUUCAUCACCUGUGAAAAUAGGGAUUGAGAGUUCCCUAACUUUGCCAUUUUUCCUCAAGCACUGGCAUUGGUCUUCUGAAUGUCAGGCUCUGUAUAAGUGAGUCCUCAGCUGAGCCACAGGCUCUGCAUUCCUGGCAGUCCACACACUUCAUAUCCUUUGUUUAUGCUGCUCAUUUUGGAAUUCAAACAGGUUGGUGGGGCACAUUUCAACAGAUAAUGACACACACUGACUGCUCAUGAGCUAUUUUAUGGUGUGAGAAUGUUGUGAUGUUAUGAAAUGCGGAGGCAUUAAAACAUGGGGACAUUUUCUAGAAGAUCCUUAGCAGAGAGUACAGAAGACUAAGGUCCAAAUCUCUGAAAUGAUGUUUUCCAAAUUAUUGCACAGCUAUGUCAAAGUACCUUGAUCCAGUUAAUGUUAACAAAUAAAAAAUUAUGAAAUGUUAUUUUCUAGGUAUGGAUAGUAGUGGAUAGUAGUAGAUCUGUUGUGUAGUGGAGAUUACUUAGGAAGAAUAAAUUUCAACUUUACCAAGAAAGUACUACAUUAAUUGCAUUAGGGAAUUGUGAAUUGCAUUAGGAAAAUGCUCAUUCUUCUUUCAAUAGCCAAUAUCUGGAUACUAUACUCUCUUGAAUUUCUAAGAUUUGCAUCCAAUAUUCUAUAAUUAGCUUUCCAGUUUAUUGAAUGAUUUAAUUUACAUACAAAUAUUUUCUAAUAUAUUCCCUGUAAAAUAGUUUAAAAAAUUAAACGUUUCUCUAAUUACACAUUCCUCCCUAGCUGAUACAAUUUCAUUUAUUUGCUUACUUUCCCAGCUGGACAUUCAGAAAUUUUUUACUCAUAUUGUCUUCAAUUGCAUAUUUGCCAGUUUCUAGCUUUUAUUUUAUUUUUUAUAUCCAUUUUGUUCUAGGUGUGGAAAUUGCUAAGUGUAGAGCUUAAUAAUAUUUCACCAGAAAGAUAUGUGUCUAACUCCCUCAUGAAGAAAUAGUAUGUUACCAACACUCCCAAAUUUCCUUUGAUGUCAAAAAGCAUUAUUUUUCUCGAGUCUUUUUUUGUGUUGGUAUGAUAUAUAAACGAAAUCAUAUACACAUUUAUUUUUUCAUUUAGAUACUUUCCUUCAGUAUUAUGAUUGAGACAUUAACCUCAGUUUAAGUAUUUAUGUCAUUUUCAUUGCUAGUUCAUUGUAAGAAGCACACCUUUUAUUUAUCUAUUCCCUUAAUACAUAUUCCUGUUUCCAGUGUUAGAUUAAUGCAAAUAAGGCUAUCGUGAGCAUUCUUUUACAUGUUUUUCAGUGUACAAAUAUAUGCUGAGAGAGGAAUUACUGAAUCACAGAAAGCAGUAUAUGCAGCUAUAAUAGAUAUUACCAUAUCCACCAAACGUUUAGCAUUUCCUGUUUCAUUUUAUUCACUCUGGGGGAUGUAUAGAGAUUUCACAUUACAUUAUAAUUUAAUUUCUCUAAUGUCUAAUGAUGGGGAGCACCUUUUUCAUGUUUUUAUUGUCAAUUUGGCUAUCUUCUUUUUCUAAAUGCAUGUUCAAGUAUUUCAUCCAUUUUUAUUGGUCUUCUUUUUUUACUGGUUUAAUUGAAUUCUUUACAUAUUAUGGAUAUGAGCUCUUUGUCAAUUUUAUAUGUAUGCUUAUAUUCACUCCUACUUCACUCUGCAGCUUGCUUUUUAUUUUUAUGCUUUUAAUAAUGAACAUAAUUUCUUUAUUUUAAUAAAUAUCAUUAUUUUUC
ensembl:lncRNA LINC01446 long intergenic non-protein coding RNA 1446